rnacentral:rRNA from 1 species
CAGCAGCCGCGGGAACACGUAGGGUGCAAGCGUUAAUCGGAAUUACUGGGCGUAAAGCGUGCGCAGGCGGUUUGUUAAGACAGAUGUGAAACCCCCGGGCUCAACCUGGGAAUGGCAAUGGAUACUGGCGAGCUAGAGUGUGUCAGAGGAUGGUGGAAUUCCCGGUGUAGCGGUGAAAUGCGUAGAUAUUGGGAAGAACACCGGUGGCGAAGGCGGCGACCUGGUCCUUGACUGACGCUGAGGCGCGAAAGCGUGGGGAGCAAACAGGAUUAGAGACCCCCGUAGUCCCUGUCUCUUAUAC